ensembl:lncRNA
CUCUGUAGCUACAGCAGUCUGCUGAGAAGAUACAUCUGUCACCACAGCUGUGCCUUCUGCUCCCCAUGAGCUGUAUCUGCUUGGCUGAGCUGAUUUCCUGUCUGUGCCAGCACUGCCUGGCUCUUCUCUAGGAGUGCUGAGGAAGAUCUGUGCUAGUAGAAUCAAAUUGGUGUGUUUAUUUCUCUGUCUCCCUCUGUUAAAAGCAAGAAAUUAAAUGAGCCUGAUCAUACCUGAGAUUCUGGAUGCCUAAAAUUUCACUGAAAAUGUUGAAAGGUCAAGCCACCCUGCUGUGCUUUUCUGUGGCAGAUGACAGGACUAAAACCAUGCUUAAAAGCAGCCUGCAUGCAAGGCCUCCUUUGUAGAGCGUGAAGGAGAACUUACAGUGUGGUAUUUUUUUUUCCUACAAUCUUUUGUUGAGUGAAAUGUCUUAAAUAGAAACUAGUCCUGAUCUGGAUGAAAACCUAUCCAGAGGACUGAACAAAUAGGCACCUUUAUUGUUUCUAGAAGAGAUUAAUGGAUAUUCUGUUACUUUAAGGCUUUUUUUUCUCCCUCUUUUUGCUUUUUAUUUUUUUCCAUUUCUUUUUCUGUUUUAAAUAGCUAAAAUAGCUGUUUUUAAAUUACAGAAGAAUGUGAAAUGCUAUACUUUAGCUCAGCUGUAUUCAGCUCUUUUAACACAGAUUAUAAAUCCUUUUCUAAGUAAUGAGGAAAAGAAAAAAAAAGAUGCACAAUAGAAUUGAUUGUUGAUAGGAAACACAAUAUUUUCAUUGCCACAUAACAUUAGUAUUUUUCUCUGCUGUUUUUCUUUCAACAUUUUAAUAACAUUGUAAUAAAUCAAUAUCAAAAAUACAGCCAAGUAAAGUCAUCAUUAACAAGCACAGGAUAUGGAAUGAGUGCAGUCCUAGACACUGUCUUUCUCCAGUAGAUAAAGGAUCUGUUAUUAAAACUAAUCAGGUACUUAAUAGCUAUAAUUCUGUAGGGUAUCAAGCAACGUUAGCUUUAAUUCUUAGUAAGAUGAAAUUCACAAUUGCUGAAAAAAUAGGUAAUUUAUAUUCUAAGGAAAUCAGAAGACCAAAGCUGUUUGAUCAGUAGUAUAUCAGUGUAUCAGUGACAUACUUAAAUUAUAGGAACUCAGUUUCCUGCUAUAGUGUGACGGAUGAUCUUGAGUUAAAACUUUUGAAUUGUUCUAUACUGCUUGUAGUAUUCCCUCAUUGUUAUAAUAAUUUACUUGAGGAGUCUGGAUUUUCAAAACUGUUUCUCAGAGCAGAGGCUGCAAGAGGAGGUUCAAGUAUUACCCAUUUCUGAAAAGCCAACGUAUUUCAGUAAGGAAAGAAACAACUAUUUAAGGAAAUCUUAACCAAGCUAGAAGAGAUAAUUACUCUUUCACUUGGCUGAGUGAAAGGGGACUGUUAAACAACUUCACUUCUCAACAUUUGUAUUGCCUGAGAUAUGAUGACAGCUGUGAAGUUGAUCCAUGGGUAAAGGUCUAUCCCAUUCUUCAUGAGCCCACUGAGGUUGGCUGGACAUGUGCUCUCAGUGCUUGUUUUCCCAGUACUCCUUUUGAAGGUGAGCACCAACAUCAGUGACAAGAACUGUCAGUUCCACUCCUCAAGCUUCUUGGCCUUUAUUGUGUCUCAGACAGUAGAAACUAUGCUGGUGUAUGGGACAUCUGGGGCUUACGUCAUAUUGUAUCAACACUGACAACUUAUUAUUUGUUUCCAACCUUACAGAGUUGUUGGAGUCUUUUUUAAGGGUAUUUCCCUGCUGCAUGAGUUGAUCUCUAGUUUACUCAUAUUUUGUGGGUAGGGGAAAGAUGUCAGUAUUUCCAUUAGUUAAAGUUGUGUUCAGCAUUAAGAGUUUGUAAUUACCACAGAAAAGUAAGCAGUAUUGUUGAGGAAAAGGAAAAAUCACAUCUCUCAGAUCCUCUGUUUUUUAUCUAGUUGUCAAAAGCCCCAACAUAAAAGCUGAGGUUUUAUUUUUAUACAUACACAAAAAUGGUAAAUACCCCAGAAAGCUAAUAAGCCAUGAAGUUUAGGAUUCAUUCAGUGCUGUGAUAGAAUAACCAAAACAACAACUAGUCAGAGCUCUCUUGAGAGCGGGGAGGAGCUUGAAAGUUCAUUGUUUGAUAGUCUCAGAAGAUCUCAAAUCAUUUUCUAAAUUAUCACAGUAUUAGAUCAUUAUCCAUGUCAUACUCUAAAAUGUGGGGCAUGACUUCUACCUCCAUCCUAGAGAAGACAAUUCUAUCUCUUUGUAAAUCUCUUCAGAUUCAGAAAUAAGUUAAAAAAAAAUAGAAAAAAAAGUAAAAAAAUAUGGGAGCCGACUGACUAGAAGGGCCACAUUCUUGGAAACAAGUUGGCUGGGCUGGUUAGCAGGGCUUUAAACUAGAUAUGAUGGGGGGAGGGGGUGUACUGUGUGACAGAGAAGCGUGUGGGAAUGCUGUCACCCUGGGAGGUGGUAAGGGAAAACCCCAGACUUGUCCUGGAGGUAUUAGGGAGGGCUCCACUGGUAAGGCAACGAGGCCAAUAGCCAAGCUGAAGUGUCUCUAUACCAAUGCACACAGCAUUGGAAAUAAUCAGGAGGAGCUAGAGACCGUGGCACAAUUGGGAAAGUAUGACCUAAUUGCUAUCACGGAAACAUAGUGGGAUGAAUCCCGUGAUUGGAAUACCCUGAUUGAGGACUACAGGCUUUUCAGAAGGGAUAGACAGGGUAGGAGGGGUGGCGGAGUUGCCCUCUAUAUUAGGAAUUGGAUAGAUUGUGAAGAGCUGUGUCUGAGGAACAGCCACAAUCAGGUCGAGAGUUUGUGGGUAAAAAUCAAGGAUCGGUCCAGCAAAGGGCAUCUAGUGGCUGGGGUCUGCUACAGGACAUCUGAUCAGGAGGAGGCUGUGGACGCGGCCUGCUUGCUUCAGCUGCAGGAGGUGUUGCGCUUGAGGGCUCUUGUCCUGAUGAGGGAUUUCAACCACCCGGAUAUCUUCUGGGAUAGUGGCAUGGCGGGUGGCAGACAAUCCAGGAGAUUCCUGGAGUCUGUCAAGGACAACUUCCUGAUCCAGGUAAUAGAUGGACCGACCCGAGGUGAAGCCUUACUGGAACUGGUGCACACUAAUGCAGAGGAGAGCAUUAGAGACGUUAAGAUUGGAGGCAGCAUGGGCUGUAGUGACCAUGCCUUGAUGGACUUUGUGAUCUUGAAGAAUGCAGGCCUGGCUAAAAGCAGAGCUUGGACUCUGUGCUUUAGGAGAGCAAACUUCCUGCUGCUCAAGGAACUGCUGAGUGGGAUCCCCUGGGAAACUGUCCUUAAGGGCAUGGGUACAGAACAGAGCUGGUAGCUCUUUAAGGACACCCUUCUGAGAGUGCAACGGCUCUCUAUCCCCCAGCAGAAGUCAAGUAGGGGAGGCAGGCAACCAUCGUGGCUGUGCAAGGACCUGCAGCUUAAACUGAGAGAAAAGGGGGGAAUUUAUAGAAGGUGGAAGCAGGUUGUGUAUCCUGGGAGGAAUACAGCGCUGUUGCCCAUGUGUGCAGAGAUAGGAUUAGGAAAGCCAAGGCGCAGAUGGAGAUGAACUUGGUGAGGGAUGUGAAAGAUAACAAGAAGAGGUUCUACAGGUUCUACAGGCAGGAGGAGACGGACCAAGUGUUCCCCCUCUGAUGAAAGGCAAUGGGGAGCUGGCUUCCUCAGACAUAGAAAAAGCUGAGGUAUUUAAUGAGUGCAUUGCCUCAGUCUUCACGGGUGGUCAGGCUUCCCGUGUCUGCCAGGACCACAAGCCUGUAGGUGAGGGUGUGGGGAGUGGUUUCUGUCCCACUGUAAUGGUGGAACAAGUCCGAGUCCUCCUCAUGACAUUGAAUGUGUGUAAGUCCAUGGGGCUGGAUGAUAUCCAUCCUAGGGUUCUGAAAGAGAUGGCUGAUGUUGUUGCUGAGCCACUCUCCAUCAUAUUUGAAAAAUCAUGGCUGUCUGGUGAAGUUCCCACUGACUGGAAAAAGGGAAACAUUACUCCCAGUUUUAAGAAAGGGAGAAAGGAGGAUCUGGGGAACUACAGGCCAGUGAGCCUCACCUCUGUGCCUGGGAAGAUCAUGGAGCAGAUCCUCCUAGAAGCUGUUAAGGCACAUAUUGGAUGAAGAGGUGAUCUGAGACAGGCAGCAUGGCUUCACCAAGGGCAGAUUGUGCCUGACCAAUCUGGUGGCCUUCUACAAUGGAGUGAUGGCUUCGGUGGCUGGGAGAAGGGCAGUGGAUGUCAUCUACCUGGACUUCUGCAAGGCCUUUGACAUGGUCCCUCACCACAUCCUUCCAGGUUUAGGUUGGAUAUUAGGAAGUUUUUCACACAGAAUGUUUCACACAGUGUGUGGUGACACACUGGAACAGGUUGCCCAAGGAGGCUGUGGAUUCCCCAUCCCUGGAGGUAUUCAAGGCCAGGCCGGAUGUGGCGCUGGGCAGCCUGGUCUAGUGGUUGGCGACCCUGCACAUAGCGGGGGGGUUGAAACUAGAUGAUCAUUGUGGUCCUUUUCAACUGUCAUGGUUUUGUAACUUCGCUAUUGGUAUUCCACAUCAUAACAUCAUGGACAAAAGAGAAGAACUACGUAUCCCAGAGGACCUCACGGUCAGAGAAGGAAGACACAUCACGGAAGAUACGUCAUCUGGUUGCGCGCGGUGCUUCUUCACUUUCGCUUGCUGCCGGGAGAGGAGUGGGUGUGCUUUCCAAGCCGGGCGCCUUCAUCAAGUAAGGCUUUCGGUUUCGGAAACUCUCUCACUCUCUCUCUCUCUCCCUCUCUAUCGCUCUUUCGCUCUCUCUCCCUCAUUCCAUUUGGUUUAUUAUACUUACUCCCGAUUAGAUUGUAUUGUAUCGUGUCAUCUUGCAUCUCAACAUCAUAGUUAGUAAAAUAAGUUCUCCUUCUUAGAUUGUUGCCACCGCUUCGUUUUUCUCGGGAAGUGAAGGGGGAGGGGGGCCCACAAGCCUACCGGCCCCCUGUCACGGGCACAGAUCUAUCUAGGUAACUCCGUGACAAUUUUGGUGGAGAAUGCGGGCAAGAUUCAUCUGAAGCUUUAACGUUAGUAAGAAAAAAAGGAUUUCGUUAGGCCAGACUGUGAGACUACAAAGCAUUGCUGGUGCUGGUGUGACCUUCAUAGAUUAGAUUAUAGCCUGGGCAGUCCGCCAAACUCCAGACACUGUACCGAGUGGUUCCCGUUUGUUUCUUUUUUUUUUCCUCCUUCUCUUUAUUCCCCCUUACGUUAGCAGUUAUCAACUAUGAGGUUGCUCUGUAUUGUCAAAGCACUGUAUAAGGGAUUAAAAGCUAUCAUGUUCCUUGCCAGUUACCGGUCUAUAAUUAACCUCUUCAUGUCUUGCUGUGGAGUUGUAUUCAUAUACAACCAAGUGAGGGCCCUGAUAGAGGCACCUGCCUGGUGGCUUUAUGCAAUGUGGUAUAAUUUGAAUUUUGAGACCUUCGAACCGGUUUCUAGGCUUCCCUCCCAGUUUGUUGAACGUUUUUCGAACACCGAGUCAGUGCUCAUAUUUUCGUGCAUAUUAUCGAUAUCUUUGAAUAUAUUCCUCUUCAUUCGUGCUAAGUGGAAGGAGCCUCCUCCAAGACCAGAGAAUGAUGACUGGCAAGGAAUAUGGAAAGGUUUAAGAAGAAUCUUAGAACCGUGGGGACCCGCCGUGCC